GCCAGAGUGGUGUAGUGGUUUGACCAUUCUGGAUUAUGACUCUGGAGACCAAGGUUUGGAUCCCUGCUCAGCCA